GAUGAACGCUGGCGGCGUGCCUAAUACAUGCAAGUCGAGCGAACGGACGAGAAGCUUGCUUCUCUGAUGUUAGCGGCGGACGGGUGAGUAACACGUGGAUAACCUACCUGUAAGACUGUGAUAACUUCGGGAAACCGGAGCUAAUACCGGAUAAUAUUUUGAACCGCAUGGUUCAAAAGUGAAAGACGGUCUUGCUGUCACUUAUAGAUGGAUCCGCGCUGCAUUAGCUAGUUGGUAAGGUAACGGCUUACCAAGGCAACGAUGCAUAGCCGACCUGAGAGGGUGAUCGGCCACACUGGAACUGAGACACGGUCCAGACUCCUACGGGAGGCAGCAGUAGGGAAUCUUCCGCAAUGGGCGAAGGCCUGACGGAGCAACGCCGCGUGAGUGAUGAAGGUCUUCGGAUCGUAAAACUCUGUUAUUAGGGAAGAACAUAUGUGUAAGUAACUGUGCACAUCUUGACGGUACCUAAUCAGAAAGCCACGGCUAACUACGUG
rnacentral:rRNA from 1 species